GUUACGAAUGAAAAAGACAAAAAGACCAAGUUAGGAAACUUAACAAAUUAUAUUUGGGACUCUAAAAGGAGCAUGUGCAUUGUGUGGAAAUGUUUGUAUGUACUAGGGGUCUCAAAUAGGCGGGUUGGGUUGAUUUUGGGCAGGUCAAAACGGGUUGAGUCAAUAAUUGGGCAGGUCAUUUUGAUCCGCCCAAAAGUUACUUAGGCUAAGAUGGGUUGGGUCAAGAUGGACUAAAAUUUGGGUCAUAUCCCAACACGCCCAACUCUAAUCAGUCUUUAAAUAAUAUAUGUUAUUUUCUUAGAAAUUGUAUAAUUACUAAAUAAGACUUGUUCUCUUACGUUAUGGUCAUAUAUAACAUAUCAAACAAGAAAAUAAAUGCAUUUCUAAGAUAUUUUGGCAAAGUUACUCAAGGAUCAAUUUGGGCAAUGGGUGGUGAUGGCUUGAGUCAAGAUAAUUGAGUUCAAUAAAUGGGCGGGUCAAUAACCAGUCCAACCUAAGAUGAGUUGCGCAAAUCAUUUGGGCUUGGGUCAAAUUUGACAGCCCUAGUAUGUACAAGAGAAAAUAUCCUAUAAGGGCUAUGAUAGAAUUUGGUCUUUCUUUUCUUAGUUUACUUAUAAAUGUAGAAUAUCCCUCCCUUUUUUGUUUUACCAUUUAUUUCUGAAGUUUGUUGCAAGGAAGGACAUGAACUCCUAUAUUAUAUUGGAUGUCGCCUGGUGCUCUUCAGCUCCGUAGUGUUGUUGCGACAAAUUAUUGUUUUUACCUGGCUUAAUAUGGUCUUUUUCACAUCGAGCCCAUGAAUGCAACCGACAUUAUAAAACAGUUUGAGGGACUAAAUUCAUUCGAGGUUGGUUAGGAAGUCCGAAGACGUCGGCGGAGGCCUCAAGAAGAGUUAUCUUUUCUAUUUAACAGCCCGCCCACCCUGGAAACGACCCAGUCGGAGAUAGGGUCUAGCAGCUGGAAGAGCAGCGCACGUUGCAUGGUGUCGAUGCGCCCCCGACCCUCAAAUAUUCAGAGGACCGAGUGUCGUCCAUGCCCGGUCGUACUCAUAAUCGCAUCGGGUAUCCAAGGUGAACAACCUCUGGUAGACAGAACAAUGUAGGCAAGGGAAGUCGGCAAAAUGGAUCCACAACUUUUGGGAAAAGGAUAGAUUUGAGGGCUGGGCACGGGGUCCUAGUCCCGAACCCGUCGGAUGUCGGUGGACUGCUAGAGCUGCUCUUGCACUGAGAGUGGGUUGUCGCGUGCCGACCGGGGGACGGACUUGGAACGGUUCCUUCAGGGGCCUUUCCGGGCAUCGAACAACCAACUCAGAACUGGUAUGGACAAGGGGAAUCCGACUAUUUAUUUAAAAUAAAGCAUUGUGAUGGUCCUUGCGGAUGUUUACGCAAUGUGAUUUCUGUCCAGUGCUCUGAAUGUCAAAGUGAAAUUCAACCAAGCGCGGGUAAACGGCGGGAGUAACUAUGACUAUCUUAAGGUAGCCAAAUGCCUCGUCAACUAAUUAGUGACGCGUAUGAAUGGAUUAACGAGAUUCCCACUGUCACUGUCUACUAUCCAGCAAAACCACGGCCAAGGGAACGGUCUUGGCAAAAUCAACAGGGAAAGAAGACCCUGUUGAGUUUGACUCUAGUCCGACUUUGUGAAAUAACUUGAGAGGUGUAGUAUAAGUGGGAGCCGAAAGGCAAAAGUGAAAUACGACUACUUUUAACGUUAUUUUACUCAUUACGUGAAUCGGAAGCGGGGUACUACCUCUCUUUUUGGACCCACGGCUUGCUUGUAGGCCGAUCCGGGUGGAAGACAUUGUCAGGUGGGGAGUUUGGCUGGGGCGGCACAUCUGUUAAAAGAUAACGCAUGUGUCCUAAGAUGAGCUCAACGAGAACAGAAAUCUCGUGUAGAACAGAAGGGUAAAAGCUCGUUUGAUUCUAAUUUCCAGUACGAAUACGAACUGUGAAAGCGUGGCUUAAAGAUCCUUUAGACCUUUGGAAUUCGAAGCUAGAGGUGUCAGAAUAGUUACCAUAGGGAUAAGUGGCUUGUGUCGGCCAAGAGUUCAUAGCGACGUUGCUUUUUGAUCCUUCAAUGUCGGCUCUUCCUAUCAUUGUGAAGCAGAAUUCACUAAGUGUUGGAUUGUUCAUCCACCAAAAGGGAACGUGAGUUGGGUUUAGACCAUCGUGAUAUAGUUUAGUUUUACCCUACUGAUGACAAUGUCGCAAUAGUAAUUCAACCUAGUACGAGAGGAAUCGUUGAUUCACACAAUUGGUCAUCGCGCUUGGUUGAAAAGCAAGUGGCGCAAAGCUACCAUGCGUUGGAUUAUGACUGGAUGGCUAUAAGUUAGAAUCCGAGCUAGAAGCAACGCAUGCGCCCGUCGUCCGCUUGCCGACCUAUAGUAGGGCCUUUAGCCUCCAAGGGCACAUGUCGUUGGCUAAGUAAUCACAGCGAAAGAGCUGUGGUGGUUGUCUUGAAGUACAAUUUCCAUCGAGCGGCAAUCCUUUGCAGAUGAUUUAAAUACACAACGGGGUAUUAUAAGUGGCAGAAUGGCCUUGCUGCCACGAUC
rnacentral:rRNA from 1 species